UUAUGUGUUCAGACGCUGCCAACGCGAGGCGACAACACCGACGGCUUUCGUAGCCGCUAGUUAUUUAAAGUCGACUAUGUGUGUCCCGGACUUUACACGCCAAAUCCCACCGUUCCCCACGGGUCUUCUGCGAAACUUUCUGACCGUCCACUCCCGCCCGCAGCAAAGUAACACACAGUCGGGCUGCUGGAUCAUUAAUCAGAGUGAUUGUGAUUAUUGUUGAGUUUGCAGUGUUUGCUGCUCCUACUGUGAUUCUUCUUCAGAUCAUCUGUGCAAGAAGAGCUGGGAGGAAGGGCUCACAACACCAAGAUAAAAUAGUGAUAAUGCAAUAUUAACAUAAAAUACUUUCUACUAAUAACAGGCCAAAUUACAGCAAGAUUUAUCUUCAUCUCGAUGUUAUGAAUAUUUGCAUGCAGCUUUCAAGGAUAUUUGCUUAAUAUACAUAUAGUCA